rnacentral:rRNA from 1 species
AGAGAUGUGUGAUGACGCAUAUCAAUAAGCGGAGGAAAAGAAACUAACUAAGGAUUCCCUCAGUAACGGCGAGUGAAGCGGGAAGAGCUCAAAUUUGAAAUCUUCAAGGUUCUACCUUGACGAAUUGUAGUUUAUAGAAGUGUUUUCUGUAGUGGAGUUUGGUAAAAGUUCUUUGGAAUAGGACAUCAUAGAGGGUGAGAAUCCCGUAUUUGGUCAUUCCUCCUAGCGUUGUGAUACACUUUCAACGAGUCGGAUUGUUUGGGAAUGCAGUCCAAAAUGGGUGGUAAAUUUCAUCUAAAGCUAAAUAUUGGCGAGAGACCGAUAGCGAACAAGUACCGUGAGGGAAAGAUGAAAAGAACUUUGAAAAGAGAGUUAAACAGUACGUGAAAUUGUCAAAAGGGAAGCGUUUGACACCAGUGUUGUUUUUCCGAAAAUCAAUUACGAAUGUUUUAGUUUUUGAGGAGUUAUGACUUCAUCGGCUUGCUUCUCUCUUUACUGAAACUUUCUUAAUGCACUUUUCGGUUAACAAGUCAACAUCAAUUUCUUUUGUCGUAAAAGGGUAUGAGGAAGGUGGCUUUCUUUUCGGAGAAAGUGUUUAUAGCCUUGUGCCUCUACAAUCGGAGAGAUUGAGGUCUGCAGCGUAGAUCCUUCGGGGUUAGAUACGUUUGUGCUAAGUUAAUAGCUUUUCAUAGACAACUUGUUGACUAUGUUUAGUCUUGUAGCUUACUCGCUGACGCUAUUUUACCUACGCUUAGGAUGUUGAGUAGCGACAUACGCAC